rnacentral:lncRNA from 1 species
AGGCAUAGAGCAGAGAGAAGAUGGGUGGAAAAUUUAUUUGUACUGAGGAAUUGGCCACAUGGUCCAGCCUAACUGGAUGGGCAGAGAAGUAUGAAUUCCUGCCAGGUGGAAGAGGAUAACCAGGUAAGAAUAAGCACCCAAAGCCUCUAGCAAUUUUCUUUUUUAUUUUGUUUCACUAUGUAUCUUCUGCUAUUUCCUCUUCAAAUAAAUAUUCAUUCACUCUUAUUCUUCUGGACUGUAAAGUAGCAAUAUAUUCCCAGGCAAAAGCAGCACAGUGUCAUUUCUCUGUACUGAAUUUCGUCAUUGACACUCAACAUUGUUAUACUAGAGCAAAUAGAGCCUGCCAAGGUUCUUAAUGUAUUCUCCUAGGAAUUCCUGUUGAGUUUUGGUAUCUAGGGACCAAUGAAGAUUAGCUUUACACACUUCUGCCUGGUCUUCUUGCAUUUGGGAAUGUGAGCACAAUUAAUGUUGUCUUUUAAUGACAGAGGGAAUUAACUCUGUAUGUUAGCUACGUUGAUAGAAUGUACUCAGAGGUUCAGGUGGCAGUCUGAACUUCUCAACUUUGGAGGGCCUAAUACACACUCAAUUCUUUGGAAAAUCCUGAGAACAACAAGUGAGAGAGAGAAAAAGUCCUUUUCCAGCACUCAUAGGAAGAGCUUUUACAUCACUAUGGAAUAUGUCAGAGAAUAUACAGAGAGAAGAGUCAAGUACAGAUCAUUGGUGAAGUGGAAGUUUCCAUGAAGAUAGGAAAAAAGCUGCUGGAAAAGGGGGGCAAUGCAUCAAUAGUGAGGUAGAAACAUAGACCAAAUAGACAUUGAUCUCAAUCCAAGGUUUUGGAAAACGAUAAAAGUUCAGGAGUCCUUGACUCUGUCCCAGUUUAUCCUUUUCCCAUUAAAAAAAAAAAAAGUGAGCUAAAUUUUGUCUUUUGAAUCUAUUAUAAAGAAGGAAUGCAGCAGAUGACGUGGUCAUUUGUGUAGACUGAACUAUCAUGUUCCUAGCAGUGAUGAUUCUAGUUGAGACAAGAACAAUGAUAUCAAAAUGUAUAUUAUUUAUGAGUGUGUGUAUGUGUGGUUGUGUUAUCUGAGCACAUGUAACACACGUAUAAGUAGGCAUGAAAUAGGUAAACAGACAAGAACUUUUAGGAAGUGGACAGUUUUCAUCUCAAUGCCACAAAGGGGGUUAUAGCAUAAUUCACAGAAGAAGCCGUGCAUGGCAUUCGUUCCACCCCUUCUCUACUAAGCAUACCAAUGGCAGACAGGACUAAGGAGCACUCCUUGCUUUCCCAUGGAACCCAGACAAGGCCUCAGCAUCCCUUUCAGCCCACUAUUAAAACAAGUCACUGUGCAAACCAGUCAAUCAAUCAUCAAUCUUUGCAUUCAAUUUAAAACCUAGUUUCUUUUUUCAUUUUUUAAAGUUUUAUUGAAGUAUAGUUGAUGUCCAAUAUUGUGACAUAAGUGACUCGGUUAUACAUAUACACACAUCCAUUCUUUUUCAGAUUCUUUUAUCACAGAAUAUUGGAAGAGUUCCCUGUGCUAUACAGCAGGACCCUGUUGGCCAGUCUUUCCAUAUACCACAGUGUGCAUGUGCCAGUAUCAAACCCCCAGUCCAUUCCUUCCCACAAGCUGUCCCCUUUGAUAUCCAUAAGUUAGUUUUCAACAUCUGAAGUCUCUUUCUAUUCUGCAUAUAAGUUCAUUUGUAUCCUUUUUUUUUUAGAUUCCACAUAAAGGUGAUAUCAUAUGAUGUUCAUCUUUCACUGACUAACUUCACUUAGUAUGAUAAUGUCUGAGUCCAUCUAUGUUGCUGUAAAUGGCAUUAUUUCAUUCUUUUCUAUGUUGAGUAAUAUUCCAUUGUAUAUAUGUACCACAGCUUCCUUAUCCACUCCUCUGUCAUGGAAAUUUAGGUUGCUUCCAUGUUAGUAUUAAAACUAGCCACUAAAUCAAUCAAUCAAUCAUCAAUCUUUGUAUUCAAUUUAGAAGCUAUUUUCUAUCAAAGAUCAGCAAAAUAUUUUUAUAUUUUGAAUGGAGGGAAGAUAUUUUUCUUCCCACUAAAAGCCUGGAAAGAUUAUCCACUUCCUUGCUCCUUUCUUUUAUUACUUUCUCCUGACUUUCCUUGAACAAACAGAUAUCAAGCAUUUACCACAUGCCAUGCAUGGUGCCAGGGGCUGGAGAGGGAGUGAUGACCAGGACACAGUAGGGAAACCCUAGGUAGUGUUCAUCAUUUAUAACCAUUGCCUUCUGGAAAGAUUUUCUCCCUUUGGCAGAAAGACUCCUACAUGGCCCUAGUUUCAUGCCACCAGUCUAGCAAUUCCUAUUCCAUCUCUGCCACCACCAUCCCAAUUUAAACUCUAGCAUCUCUUGUCUGUAUUGCUGCAGGGGCCACCUUGCUAACUCUCUAUAUUUGCUCUGAUCCCAUUCAAUUCAUUCUCCACAUUGGUAGCAGGGCAAUUUCACACUAGAUCAUGUGGUCCCCCUGCUUUAAACUCUCCAGUGGGUUUUUCUCUCUCUAAAACAGCUUUCAAGGCCCUGCACUAUUCAUUUUGGCCUUAUUUAUCCAGCUCCAUUCACUGCUCCUCUCUCUUCACUCUCUAUGAUCCAACCACAAUGCUCUUCUUCCAUUUCAUAAAUUCACCCUCUUCCUUUCUGCCUUGAGAUUUUGAGCAUGUUGCUUCAUAGCCUGGAAUGCUCUUUUCCCACAUCUCCCUCUAAUUAACUCAGUUACCUUUCAGAUUUCACAUCAGAAUUUCCUUUCUCAGAUAAUUCUUCUCUGAUCACCUGCCUCACUCCCAGACUAGAUUUAAUAAAUUCACAUUACUGUAUACCUUUCCUUUUUUCAUCACAUUUAAUGAUUAUGCAUUUUAUCUGUUUGAUUAUUUGAUGAAUGUCUGCCUUUCCUAUUAGACUACAAGCUCAAUGAGGACAUAAUGAGUGCAAGGAAGAUGUCUGCUUUGAUCCUAGGUGUGUGUAUCUUGCACAUGCAUAGUAGAUGCUCAACAAAAAGUUGAUGCAUGAAGCUAUCAGAAAACAAUUAACUCACUGGUUUUGUGAAUGAAUAAAGUUAGCUUACAAUCUAGUGAAGAAUAGAAAUAGACAACUGGAAUACAGUUUGAUAAGUGCCAUGAGGUAUAAGAACAGUGGGUUAUGGGCAAACAUAAGACAGCUGCCUAAUUCCAAUUUUGAGGGGCUCCUAUAGCAGAGAUGAGAAGGAAUUUCAUAAUCAGAGUGACAAUAGGCAUGUUCACAGAAAUGGAGCAGUUUCACAUUCCCAGUCUUUGCAUGGCUGUGUCCAGUAGCAAAUAAGAACAGAAAUACAAGCUGUGGAAAUUCAGC